GAUGAACGCUGACAGAAUGCUUAACACAUGCAAGUCAACUUGAACUUCGGUUUGGGUGGCGGACGGGUGAGUAACGCGUAAAGAACUUGCCUCACAGUUAGGGACAACAUUUGGAAACGAAUGCUAAUACCUGAUAUUAUAAUUUUAGGGCAUCCUAGAAUUAUGAAAGCUAUAUGCGCUGUGAGAGAGCUUUGCGUCCCAUUAGCUAGUUGGAGAGGUAACGGCUCACCAAGGCGAUGAUGGGUAGCCGGCCUGAGAGGGUGAACGGCCACAAGGGGACUGAGACACGGCCCUUACUCCUACGGGAGGCAGCAGUGGGGAAUAUUGGACAAUGGACCAAGAGUCUGAUCCAGCAAUUCUGUGUGCACGAUGAAGUUUUUCGGAAUGUAAAGUGCUUUCAGUUGGGAAGAAAAAAAUGACGAUACCAACAGAAGAAGUGACGGCUAAAUACGUG
rnacentral:rRNA from 1 species